GACGAACGCUGGCGGCGUGCUUAACACAUGCAAGUCGAACGGAAAGGCCCUGCUUUUGUGGGGUGCUCGAGUGGCGAACGGGUGAGUAACACGUGAGUAACCUGCCCCUGACUUUGGGAUAACUUCAGGAAACUGGGGCUAAUACCGGAUAGGAGCUACUGCUGCAUGGGGGGGGUUGGAAAGUUUCGGCGGUUGGGGAUGGACUCGCGGCUUAUCAGCUUGUUGGUGGGGUAGUGGCUUACCAAGGCUUUGACGGGUAGCCGGCCUGAGAGGGUGACCGGCGUCAUUGGGACUGAGAUACGGCCCAGACUCCUACGGGAGGCAGCAGUGGGGAAUAUUGCACAAUGGGCGGAAGCCUGAUGCAGCAACGCCGCGUGCGGGAUGACGGCCUUCGGGUUGUAAACCGCUUUCGCCUGUGACGAAGCGUGAGUGACGGUAAUGGGUAAAGAAGCACCGGCUAACUACGUG
rnacentral:rRNA from 1 species